rnacentral:RNase_P_RNA from 1 species
UAAGCAGGUCAGGUAGUCGCAAGCGGUUGUACCGCUUGAGGAAAGUCCGGGCUCCACAGGGCAUGGCGCUGGGUAACACCCAGCGAGGGUGACCUCAGGGAAAGUGCCACAGAAACAUACCGCCCUCAACCAGAGCCUUUUUGACCUAGAAGGUGCCCGUGCGCCUUCUAGAGUAGAUAGGGCAGCGGUCAGGGUAAGGGUGAAAAGGUAGUGUAAGAGACUACCGGCAGUCGGGCGACCGGCUGGCCAGGCAAACCCCGCCAGGAGCAAGACCAAAUAGGGGGGCUGUGACGCUGCCCGCCGAGCCUCCGGGUAUGGUCGCUUGAGGGAAAAGGCAACUUUUCUCCUAGAUAGAUGGCUACCCUCGACAGAACCCGGCUUAUAGACCUGCUUACCGC